UACGAAGGAUGCAAGCGUUAUCCGGAUUUAUUGGGUUUAAAGGGUGCGUAGGCGGACUUAUAAGUCAGUGGUGAAAUCUCGAUGCUUAACAUCGAACGUGCCAUUGAUACUGUAGGUCUUGAGUACAGAUGCCGUUGGCGGAAUGUGUCAUGUAGCGGUGAAAUGCAUAGAUAUGACACAGAGCACCGAUUGCGAAGGCAGCUGACGAAACUGUAACUGACGCUGAGGCACGAAAGCGUGGGGAUCAAACAGG
rnacentral:rRNA from 1 species